rnacentral:rRNA from 1 species
GCUGGCGGCGUGCCUAACACAUGCAAGUCAACUUGACUGAAGGAGCAAUCUGACAGUAGAGUGGCGCAAGGGUGCGUAACGCGUAAGUAACUUGCCCCAAGGUAAGGAAUAACGUCGAGAAAUCGGCGCUAAUACCUCAUAAUGCAGCGGAUCCGCAUGGAUAUGUUGUUAAAGGUUUACCGCCUUGGGAUAGGCUUGCGUCUGAUUAGUUAGUUGGUGUGGUAACGGCACACCAAGGCUACGAUCAGUAACUGGUCUGAGAGGAUGAUCAGUCACACUGGAACUGAGACACGGUCCAGACUCCUACGGGAGGCAGCAGUGAGGAAUAUUGGGCAAUGCUCGAAAGAGUGACCCAGCAACGCCGCGUGGAGGAUGAAGGUAUUCUAUAUCGUAAACUCCUGUGAGAGCAGACGAAAGACAGAUUAUUAAUCUGGAUGACUGUAUGCUCAGAGGAAGCCCCGGCUAACUACGUG